AACAUUUCACCAGAAAAACCUUGCAGAUUUCUCUCAGCUUCCGUAAAAGAACCCUUAACAAUGAGAAGCACAAUAAAAAGAAAAGAAAAUAGAGAUGCAAUCCCAUAAAGUAAACCAUUCAAAACUUAACCCCCAUAAUGAACAUAUAAUCGAACAUCUCAAAAAGAAAUUAUCAACAUUGUAGAAAACUAAUAUCUUAAAAAAGAAAACAUAAGAAUAAUAAAAGGCAUCUAAAAAU
rnacentral:lncRNA from 1 species